ACGUUUCUAUUGACGUAUUGAUCUCCGCUAGGCGAGGAGCGUUUCUGCUGAACACGCUCACUGCUCAUUCUGGGGGCCGGAGGGCAGAGCUGACCUCAGCUCUUCAAGUGCCGGGGCUCGAGGGGCAGGCCCGAUGGGGGUGCCGUGGACAGGGGCCUCUAGUCUGGGGCGGGGAGGAGCCUCUCUGGCAUCGGGAUGGAGAUCUUGAUGGGAAGCGGGGAGACAGUUGUUUGGAGGGACAGAGGCGGGCAAAGCUGCGGCCGCCCUCGGGGGAACGGAGACACCAGGUGGCACAGAGACGCAGAUCGACCUUGGAGUCUUUCUAUCCAGCUCCAGAACUGAGUGAACACGUGUCCCCAUCUGCAAAGGGAGGCUUUUUUCUCCUCGCUCUUUAUGCGUACUUAAGAGGAGGCUUCAAAUAAUAUAGGGUUGUCCUUUAAAACCUGUAACAAAGCACACCAGAGGACUAACUAAGUGUAAGCUAUGGUUCCUCGUCACCGCCACCCAAGGACCUAUGAGGUAGCCAGCUAGCCAAGCAGGGUCUUGAGAGUAUGGUCCUCUCUCUGGCAUCUGGCCAGGAAGUAGCCACAGGUUCACAAAGUGGGUCCUUCAGGGGUCCAGGCGAGGCGCGUUUGUCUUUUGUAGUUCAAAGAGGCGUUCCAUAAAUGUUCUCCCUCGCUGUCCUCUCCAAACUGCCAGGGCUCCAUCCCAUCAUCCGUGUCGUGGAAUUUGGAGUCACCCUGGCAGAUCUCUGGUUUCUGCACGUACCCCACACCAAAGGCAACAUUCAGGCUGGUGAGUGGGGGACGUGCAGGGGGGACCAAAAGGGAGCUACUUCUUUGUCUUUAACUGGUCUUUGCUCCCUCGAAACAUUUCCUUUUUCCAUUUUUUUCCUGCCUGCUCAUAUGGACCUUACCCCCAACACCAUAGUCUCUCCACUCAAGGGGGAAUCAUCUGGCCCCGAGUGGGAUGGUGUUGAGCCAUUCCUUGGUGAUAAGAGUAAUGUAAGGAGACAUUACAUGAAUUCUGGCAUCAUGGAACAUUCGUGCAUACAACCCAGCAGGCUAUUAGCAGAUUGCUUGUCAGGAAAUGCAUGUUCUCAUCUUAGUGGAGUGGGAAAAAGGCAGGGCCCAGGGCCCACUUCCAGCUCUGCUACCAUGAGUGGGUGAGCAGUUACAUGCUGCAUCCAAGCUUUGGCUUCCUCCAGGUUGCAUUCCAGAACUUUCCCCGAGUCUCUUCUUUGGCUCAGACAUUCUAAGCUUUAAGAGCACCAGGAACCCUUUUUUUUUUUUUUAAUUUUUUCAAUGUUUGUUUUAUUUUUGAAGGAGAGGGAGACGGAGCAUGAGCGGGGGAAGAGCAGAGAGAGAGGGAGACACAGAAUCCGAAGCAGGCUCCAGGCUCUGAGCUGUCAGCACAGAGCCCGACGCAGGGCUCGAACUCACAAACUGUGAGAUCAUGACGUGAGCCGAAGUCGGACGCUCAACCGACUGAGCCACCCAGGUGCCCCCAGGAACCCAUUCUUAUAUUUCAGAUAAACUCCGUGAAGAAUCACUUCGUCAGAAUUACCCACAGAAUGACCCACUCAGCCCCCUGAGUGGGCAGGGUCGGAAAGAAAUCUGAGUGUAUCUACACUAUAUCCCUGUCAUAGUCCUGCACGCAGCCAUCCCCGAGAGCCAGGUGCAAGCCUAGAUGCUUCUGGUCACCCUCUGCUUCCUGGUGGCCUCCACCCCUGGUCUUGUAGAAUGAGCUGGGCUUUUUCCACACACUGGCACCCAUCAGGCACAUAGUUACCCACUGUACCCCUUGCCCCUUCUCCAUUUGAAAUGUCCUCAGGGUAACCUGAUGCAGCCACUUGGGAAGGAGGCCUCCCCAUGUGGCACUGUUGAGGCCCCCAACAUCCGGGUGUUCAUUUUCUCUGAACGCUUAGCUCCCAGUGGGGUUUAGUGUGAAGUGGCUCAAGAACCCAAGGGCAGCGCAUCUGAUCAGCAAAGGGACAGGAAAGCCAGCCAUCCCAUUCUUCGCCCACCACCUGCCCCACCCUGACACUCAGGCCCCUCACCCAUGCGCCCCAGCCUCUCCUUCCCAGGCCUGGCCCAGCGACCUAUCUGGGCCCUCUCGCGCCCCGACCCACAGCACACCCCCACCUGCAAGAGAAGCCCUUUUUGGACAUGAACGAUGCCACCACUGAAGCGACGAGGACUAAGACUUCUGCAGAGGACAGACCUGUCAACAGUUAAACAUGACAGAAUGUGAAUCUGCUCAUAAGGUGAUAGCGGGAGGGAAUGCGGCAUAUGGCAAGCCAUCUGCAAUACCAACGCCUUGUCGAUGAAAACCUCGCUGGCCCACAAAAAGAAGGAGAUGCUAAAUGUAGUUUUCCGGCGCAGAGCGAUUUAUCUUCAUUCUGGGCAGAAAAGGAGUUGACGGUACUGAGCAAAGAUGAACGAGCGUCACGAAGAGCCGAGGGGCUCCGUCUGUGACAGUGACGGUGGCGGCGCCCCCUCCGCACGCGCCCGGCCCCCCCCCCCCCCGCUGUUGGGUGGCCCCUGCCAGCAGCGUCCUGGGGGCCCCUUCGGUGGCUUGACUGUCUGAGUGCCUGUGCCUUAAGGGCACAGGAAGCGGGGGAAGCCAGGUGGCGUGGCCGGGGCUGGGGUGGGCUCCCCUCUGAAAUGCUCCCCGCUCUGCGCUUGUGCAGGGGUCAAAGACCCGCGGAAGCCUGGAGAGGAGUGAAAUAAUGGGGGGACACUGACGGUCCCCUUGUUUCUCAGCUGUCAGUCCACUGCCUGUCAUUCCACCUUGGGAGCUUCUGGUCUCAAGGGUCCUUAACCUGUUGGAGCCUACUUCCUCAACUGUAAAAUGGAGAUAAAUUACCUACCUGGGCAGCUGCCCUGGGCACGUAAGACCUGGGAAGACAAUGCAAAAAGUUAUUAAACCCUGGGAAGCUUACAUAUGAAUGCAAUUGUUGUUCUUAAUCUUUAAUCGGGAGCUCUGGAGCCUUGAGCCACCUCUAAUUCCAGUGAACCCUGCCCCCAGCAAGCAAGCCCAGAGUGAGGGCCUCGGCCCUUCUACCCCAGGCAGUGUCUGUGGCUCCCUUCAUUCUAAGGGGCCCUUCCAGUUCAGCUCCUGUGUUCUAAGAAUCUGACACACGCGGCCCUACAGCUGGAGGAAGGGGGGUGCCCGGGAGAUGGGGCUGUUGGGGGCCAAUGGGCAGCUGGCCUCCUGGGGACACAGCAGGGCUGAGGGCAUGGACGCAGGCAUAGCCCUGCCAGGCUCUGGGCAUGCGUCUCUGAUCCCCUCCACCUAACUGCUCCUCAGACGGUGUCCCCACCCCAGCGGAGAGGUGGCUGCCUUGGCCCCAUCAGUGGGGUCACAUAGUACAAAGCAUGGUGACUUAUGUGUGUGGAAGUCCCCCUCUUCCCCCGUGGAGUCCCUAGUUCAGAACUGCCCUCUACCCAGAUUCAGGCCAGGACCCCAGCCAUUGACUUCUUGAGUCAGAAGUGGGGGGUGGGUUCCCUCCAUCUCUACUGGGGAGGGCAUCCAUUGGCACUCAUCAGUGUCUUUUUCUCUCCACAAGUAUUCCAAGAAAUGCCUUGUUAGACGGUGGGGACGCUGCCGCCUUGCUUUCGGGCUCCUCACCUCCUACUCCUACCUGCCUCUUCUGCAGGGCCGUGGGCCCAUGGUGGCUCCCUGUCCCUCACCCAAGACUGACCGGACCCUUCCUCCAGGGGUUAAUUCUUCUGCACAGGCAGCCCCCAGGAGGCCCCUGUUCCUAUCACAUGAGAAGGACUCUGUACAGACCUGAGUCUACUCCCUGGAAGGUAGAGCCUGAGGCUGGUCAGCAUGAUUGAACUGAGCAGAUGAUGAUCUCUGAGCAUCUGCACGGGCCUUUCCUGGACAUAGAACGUGGCAUUCAUUGCUUCCUCCCGGCAACCCCAGAGGGAGGCAGAGAGAGGGGAGGGCGGCAGGGAUGAGGGGGCACAGGGACCGUGCACUGGCCAGGGCCCUCCCCUCCUUGAAGGGUAGAUAACGGUGUUCAUUCCAGAAAAGGCAGAGGGAGCGCCCUUCAUACUCAACACUUCACGUCUCAAUGGUUUUAUUACUUUCCACAUUUUAUCAACAAAGGAAGUGAGUCUACACGAUCCCCAACAUCAUCACAGAGACAGAUUUCUUAGCUAGAAGGAAUCAGAGAUAGUUCACUCCCCCCUCAUUUUACAGAUGAGAAUCAGGCCCCCAGGACAGGAGUGACUUAUGAAAGGUCACCCAGCAACGGGAGAACUCUCCCUGCCUUAGGACCUCAGCAAUGAGCAUCGGGCCGAGUGUCUUUGAUGAGGUUUUUGGGGGAUGACAGUGGGGUUCGUGGGGUCUGGAGCCACCGGCCAAGAAAGAAUUCUGGAAGACGUCUUUGGUGCAAAAAAGGCGAUUUUAUUGAAACACUGGGAGAGCACCCGGUGGGCAGGAAGAGCUGCCCCGGGGACCACAGGAGAGACUGGUUUUAUACUAUGGGGUUGGGGGUGAGGUAAAGUCCAGGGGAAGUUUCCAGUGAGAUUUUCAUAUGCUAAAGAAGACUCCCAGGAUGCUAUUGUCAAGCCAAGGUUGUUUUUCCCUCUAGCAAAUCAUUAACAUUAAGACAGGAGUUCCUGGAGAAACGUUUUACUCUGCCAGCCUCAAGUAUUUGUCAAGGGGCUGCGGGUUACAAGGAAAUUUAGUUCUAUCUGCCAUUUCCUUCUGCCUUUGUUUCUCACGUCACUAUGGAGGGGUGAUGGAGACUUAGGUCCUGCCGUUCUAGGAUCUCUAUCAGUUAACCAGUUGUUUUCACCCUUUCCUUUGUUCCUGGGCAGCCAGGAGUGCGAGGAAUAUCACACAUAUCCCACCUGGGGGUGUUGGCGAGGUGGGGGGCAGGGGUUGCAGCCUGUCAGCUUGCCUUCUGCUGCCUCAUCAGCUUCAGUAAGGAGUCGGCAGGAGAGGAAAAGCUCGUCUGGCCAACGCUGGGAAGGUAGCCCCCAGGGAUGGGCAGAUGGCCUCUGUAUUUCUGAAAACAAACCCCUUUUUAUGUUGCUAAGGGCCAAAGCUCUCUUGGGACAUAGUUUUUCUGACCCGCUGGGAGGUCGAAGAGAAAAGGGAGAAAAACUGUGGAAUUGGGGCUUGGUGUGGGGUGGGAGGCGGGGGCUCAGGUUCAGUCCCAGCCCCCAGACAGUGGACUGUGGCCCCAAACGACUGAGGAGAGCCCUCUGAAGGCCCCCAAGGCCUGUGCUCGGCUCUGCGCUGGCUAAAGUCUGCCCGGACAGCAUCCGUCUCGGGUCUGCCCCGCUGUGGGGUGGCACUGAAUCCGCACAGAUCCCGGGCCUCGAGGCACCCAGGACAUUCACAGGAGGACCCCGGGGCUCCAUAGACCCCUCUUGGGGAAGAAGCACAUCGGCUGCAGAACCCUUGGCGGCGUGUCUGGGCUGACGGGGUGGAGGAGAGGAGCACUUUUCCGCAGGCUUUGAAACGAGCAGAGUGGUUGGGGAGGACAAAGUGAGGUGAGGUAGCACGGAGCCGGCAUUCUGGGACCCUCUGGCCUCCUGCCGGCCUCACUCCUGCAGUUUCAGAUGCCCUCCCCAGAGGAGGGCCUGCCUGACGAAGGCCCAAGGUGACAGACAAGGGCACAGAAUUGCUGCCGCCCCACCCAGCACCACAACUACAAGCCCCCAUCCUAAACACAGUUCCCCCAGGAACGUCUCUCAGCCAGCUUGUCAGGUCGGACAGCCUUCCAGCCUCUCAGGUGCAGCUGGGGUCACCCUGCAGAGAGCGGGCCCUCACCCAGAAGCUCUGAGUAGCCGGGCCCCUCUCCCCGGGCUCUGCACCCAGGCUGGCAGGAGGGUACAAAAUCUUUCUCUUUGGAGCACCUGCCGGCUGCUCUGGGCCGCGGGCCAGGCCCUCUGCUACCCUCUACCCAGGCUCUUCCUGCGCUGUCUCCGAGGCCCAGCCAGGACCAAUGGGAUGAGUUCUAUUUCUGGCAGGGCUCCCUGGAAGCUCCCCGUUUUCGCCUUCCCAGCAGACCAGGAAGGCCCAAGUAGGGGUCUAGGGCUUUGCCCUCAGGACCUCAGUUGUGCAACAUGCACCCAGCCAGCCCUCCUUGGCUUCUUCCCCCUCCUACCCUACACCCUAUAGCUGUUCUCUCAAGCCUGCUCUAGGAAAAAGAAACUGGUGAUCCUACUGCUCCUUCUGAGCCCCCCAAAGCCUGCUGACCAACGCUGGCCACAGCCAUCCCUUCCCCGGCUCUCUGCCCCUCCCCCUGUGACCCUGUCCUCCCUGACCACUGUGCCUCUGUAGAAGCCGCAGGGGACAUGCCCCAGAUUCCUGACGGCCUCCCGUGGCCCCUUUUCAUGGGGUGAGGCUUCCUGUUUGGGUCUCCUUCCUCAUUUGCAGUUGCCUGUAAAUGAAAAAUCUGAACAGGUAGGAGGGAGGGGAGAAGGACUGGGCAGGGGCCGAGGAGGUGAAUUUUAAACAAUGCAGUCAUUGGGAAGAAAUUUCUCAGGCAAAGUUGGAGAUCACAUUCUCCAGUAGCAAACAUGCUCGCCCGACCCCUGGAUGUGGGAGAUUAAUGGCUGAUGAAAUGUAGCGUUAAUCUCCAAGGAUCUUGCUCGGGGAUCAUAUGAAUUGGUUGCCCUGGGUAUAGUAAUCAAGAGGAUGGCUUUACGGUACAAAUGCUUGUAUUCUUUCUUUGUUAGAAGGCACACCGCUUAAAAGGAGAGCUCUCAAAUUUCCCUUCUUUGUCUUCAAGCAUGAAGGGAACAUAAUUUGAUGCCUUUGGUAGAUCCCUUAGAACAAUGUGCCUGGGGAUAACAGUUCGUAACCUGCUCUCCCACUGCUUCUUACCCAAUCUGGACCCGUCAGGCAUCUUCAGAGAAAAUUCCCAGAAAGGGACCCAGGAAAAUUAUCCCACCCACCCACCUACCUCUGGAUGAGGCCCCCGCUGAUCUCCCAGCUGUUCCAGACAAAGUAUAAUCUUGUGCUCAAAGAUUCUCCACAGUCUUGUUUGCUCUUAACCCUCCCUCCCAGACUCUUGGACUUGGAGGGCAGCUCGCCAUCCAUCCGUCCAUCUGUCCAUCCCACAGUGCAGAACUAUUAAGUAUCCAGUGUUCAGCCUAUUAGCACUGAAGAGGGAUAGGGUCGGGAAUUUCCCAGAGGAUCCCAACUGAACAUAAUUUCAUCUAAAAAAUGUUUUUAAUGUUUCAUUAUUUUUAAGAGAGAGACAGACUGCGAGCAGGAGAGGAAGACACAGAAUCCGAAGCAGGCUCCCCGCUCUGAGCUGUCAGCACCUCAGAGCCCGACGUGGAGCUUGAACUCAUGAACCGUGAGAUCACAACCCGAGCCGAAGUCAGACGCUCAACCGACUCAGUCACCCAGGCACCCCCAUCAUUUCAUUUUUUAAAGUGAAUGGGAUAUUCCAAUAAGUCCACUGAUGGGCUUGAUCUUUUUUAAACCUUUGGGUGAGCGACUUCAGAGAGGCUGCGGGUUUGAUUUCUGUUUUCAAAUACAUGGUGACUAAUGGACACCACCCUACACUCCUGUGAAUGGAAAGGUACUUCUGGAUCAGGGUCAGGGACAGAGCCAACUACUGUCCAGACAGCCCCCACCCCAUCACCGGGAACUGGGGCCAGGUCACCAGCCUUAGAAAAAGGGACCCUGAAUGGCUGGUGGCUCAGAAGGGACAGGCUGGGACACCGGUUCAUAGGUUGUAAUCUUAUAAGAGACCAGUUUCCCAAAACCAGAACCCCAAUUAACUGUCCACAUUGAGACAUAUAACCGUCACGGGCACUGGAGUGUCCCGUUUGUCCAUCAGUGCAUUCUCCCUGCACAUUAGUGGGUGACAUGGGACAGUGAGUCCUAAUGGGAAGUUUAGGGCAGAAAUCAGAUCGGAGAGGAGGUCCUGGGAGCUGCAUUUCUGGAGUUCUCUACUGAGAAAAUACUGACACCAGGCAACACUGCUGCAAAAAGUCUUCAGCAAUGAGGCAGAGGGAGGCUUGUGGCCCCGGUAGCAUUGUGUGCCCUCAUCUGCCCAUCAUCUGAACUUUCUUCUUGUGCCUGGGGGACCCCUGGCUUCGUCCCAGGCCCCGCCAGUGGCUCACACCUCCCCAGGCUUUGAGCGGGAAGCGACAGAUGGGCAAUCUCCCCAGCGUUCAGGCCUGUCCAUCUGCUGUGCACACUGCAAGGGCUGGGGUCUUAGGGUGUCGGUGGCGUCCUCUGGGCCAGCUCUGCAGCCGAAUUUCAGAUGCCGUUCCCGGUCAAUUGCCUCCAGGCUGCAUUCUCUGGCCCUUGCAGAGUUUGAGCUUCCUGGUGUCCUUUAAUAAAUUCCAUUUCUGCUCUUAUCCACCAGUGUCAUUCUCUGUGACCUGCAAAUAACCCUGCCUGAUAGAUGACCCCUUGGUGCUGCCACCUGUCAGCUGUCCAGAGUCACACAGCCGGUAGAUGGCACCUUGGACAAGUUCCCGCUGUCUGCCCUGGGGGCUGUAGAUGGGGUGCCACGUUUACAUGUAGAGGAGGGACCCAUCCCUGCCAGACAUGCUGGCCAGAGCAGGCUUCUUGGAGACAGUGGGCCAGAAGGGUGAGUAAACUAAGUGGGUGAGAGGAAAGGGGAUGGUUUUCUGGGGGAAGAGACAUUAUACCGAGCCUGGCCUUUUGGGCAGUAGAAUCGGGAAUGGGCUCAGGAUCAGGGACAUGGCCCCUGUGCCAGUGUGUCACCUCCGGCCCCUGGCUCUGAGAUGACAGCAAUAGAAAACAGAAAAAUGAGCACUUGGCUACAAUUAAUUGCUAAGAUGCAAAGAAAAAUUGUUCUGAAUAUUAAAAUUAUAGAUAUAAUGCUAUUAGGAGCAUGAUUCAGAGUUUAUGAAAACAUUAUUUAUAUUGAUUUAUUCCCAGAGCCAUCAAGACUCCUUGAAAAUAAUUAAAGUUGACAUUUCCAUUGCUGAAGCUAAAUGUUGGUAUCAUAUAAUGAAUAUUACAUGCUUGGGAUGGGCUGUGCUGUAGAAAGCAUUAAACACCAACAUCUGGAGAUUCCCCCCUCCCCCAUUAUGAGUUGCCAGCCACCAAUGAAUGCACAGGCCUCUGGGGCUCUUCGCCUCCUGGCCCCUGGCCCAGACCCCCAGCCAUCAGCCACCCCAGGGACUCUUUAAGAGCUGAUGGGGACAUGAGAACCAAGGAUGGGGUUCAGCCAUGGCUAUGAGCCAGGGAAAAGCAAGAUCCAGACCGGAUGCCAGCCCAGCCAGGCCUUGCAGGAAGAAAGGAAGUUAGAAAGGAAGAGAGGGGUGGGGAGUAAGGAAGACAGAGAGGAUGUAUGAAGGAGUGAGAGGGAAGGAAGAUCUUCCUCCCUGCCUUGGGAAAUUCCCCACACUUCUUUUCUUAAGUGAAUUUAAAAAAAAAUUAAUAUUUGUUUAUUUUUGAGAGAGAAAGAGACAGUGUGAGUGGGGGAGGAGCAGAGAGAGAGGGAGACACAGAAUCUGAAGCAGGCUCCAGGCUGUCAGCACAGAGCCCAAUGCAGGGCUCGAACCCACGAACCGGGAGAUCAUGACCCGAGCUGAAGUCGGACGUUUAACUGACUGAGCCACCCAGGAUCCCCUCCACACUUCUAGGACCACAAAGCUGCGGCCUCCAGGCUGUCAGCUGAAUUACCAAUCUCCACUUUCCCUGAGGCAGGUCAUGGCCCGGAGGGUCCUCCUUUGUUGAUGGCUUUGUAAGAGCCCCUUGUCUCCUCUCAGGAGCCGUGCCCGGUCUCAUCACUUCACCCUCCAACUUCCAAUGGCUGGCAUCUGUUCUCUCUGCCCUCAACCCUCCACCAAGCACACAGGGCAGUUGGCCUCUCCUGUUCAGCUUUAUAAAACCCCAGAGGAGGGGAGAGAUGCCUAAGAGGAUGAGCUUCAAACAGCAAGACAGGGACCCCCUGCAAAAAGAAUUUAUCAAGGGGGCGCAGACAGCUCACAAAGGCACUGGAGGAUCCAAACGGACAAGACCAGCUGAGCUUCCCCAGAACAGCUGCCCACACCACAUUCCAGAAUGAGGCUUCUGUUUCCUCGAGAAAGUGCUGGAGCAGGAAGCUACCCGCAAAUGACCGAUCCCACGAUCGACUCUAGUGAAGUUUCCCCUUCCUCCCUCCCCUCAAAACCCAGUUCCAGGGGCGCCUGGGUGGCUCAGUUGGUUGAGCGCCCCACUUCGACUCAGGUCAAGAUCUCCUGGUUCGUGGGUUCAAGUCCCUCGUCAGGCUGUGUGCAGACAGCUCGGGGCCUAGAGCCUGCUUCACAUUCUGCGUCUCUCUCUCUCUCUCUCUGCCCCUCCCCUGCUUGUGCUCACUUGCUCUCUCAAAAAUAAAUAAAUAAACAUUAAGAAAAAAAAAAACACCGUAGUUCCAAAUCAAAGUCUCAUGGGAGUGCAUCAGAUGGCAGGAUCCUGAUCAUAUCUGGAACCCAAAGGCAUCUGGGAAAUGUAGCCUGUAGCUUCCCAGCCUCCCAGUGCAGACGGGAAAGCACAGCACAGUGUAGGAAUGGAUGUUGAAUGAGCCAACCCGCCGUGCCCACACAUUCCUUCUACCGUCUCUUCCUCCCUCAUCAGUCCUGGGGCCAUGGCGAUCUCCAGCUCCCCAUGCGCUUUGAGCAGCGGUUCUGUGUAAGGUGGUCGGGUGAUGAGAGCCAUAGGGACUGAAUGCAUCAGCCCAGCUUCUUAGUUACCACCCACAGAUAUCUCUAAGUAGUUUAAGCGGAAAGCAACUUGUCAUGGGGCGUGCGGUGAGUCAGAGUCACUGGGAGGGCCAGACAGCAAGUUUCGCAGCUGUCCACCAAGGAAUAGCAUAGUGUCCAAAAUCCCACCGUAGAAGUGGAUUCCAGGGACCCGGCUGCUGUCCCAGCAGACCAGGCGCACCAUCUUGCCCACUGUCACUGAAGACACGACACGAAAACUUCUGUCACCGUGGGCCCUGGGAUCAGACACGCCUGCAGCCACCCUCUCCGCCACAGUUUGCUCUCCUGUCGUCUCUGCUGCUUGGUAGAAUGUGGGUCAUGCUACCCAUGUGGGUAGAAUGUGGGUACAGGCCUGUACCCCUGCUGCAAGGGAGUCUGGGAAAGCAAGUGUUGGGAUUCCUUAGUGGGAGAUGGGGGCUUCUGGAAUAGGACCGUUCCCAACUUCUUAGGGUCUGGGUGGCCACAAAGAAGGUCAAACAUCACCUCCAAAGCCUAGGCCUGAUGGGGGUUAAACCAAGAAACUUGGCCGCUGGGGUGUGGGGUGGGGCCUGCUCUCUCACCUGGGCCUCUUAAAUACUCCUCCGCCUCUCCCAGCCGGGGCACACCCUCUUCCAUCUUCCUAGCUCUCCCCUGCACCCUUGUGCCAGCCUACUGCCUGGCACAUCACGGGUGUUGGCUAAACGUCUGUGAAUUGAGCUGAGCCGUCUGCGUAGUUAAUCCGCCUGGCUCCUGUCAACACAACACAGGCGUUUGCCCGGUGACGGGGCCCAGCCUGUUUUCCAUCCAGCAACUCCGUGGGGAAUGAGAAAAUCUUGCCUUUGCAAGCUUCCCGUUAACUGUGACCAUGACCUUAAAGACUGGAGAUGGUUCUGGGACACGGAUAAAGACAAGGAGCACCAGGGGAGCGGGGGAGGGAGGAGUGGCAACGUAAUACAAACAGCAGCUGGCCUUCAUCAGAUCCGGUGGGGCGGCCACGUGCACCAGCUGGAGUCAGACCGCCUCCCCCACCGACGCAGGCUUGGGCAAGGUUGUUAUCUACCCUGUGCCUCAAUUUCCUCACCCAUAUAAUGGGGAUGACAAAUGCUGGGUGAGGCUCACAUUACUGAGUGCAAGGAAAGCCUUUAGAACAGGGCCGGGCCCCAAGAGGAGGAUAGCUUUUCAGUGGAGCCUUCAGUCACGGUCACCCGGCAAGCGUCACACCUGUUUGUCAGGUGAGUUCCAUCAUUAGCACCUCCCUUGAGUUGCCUGAGGUCACACAGCUAGUGGCCGGCAGACCCAGAUUUGUCUGACUCCAGAUACUCCAGUCACCCAUAGCCCAAGAGAAAGGGGGUGAGCUCAAGCUCACCGUCCCCUUCCCCCGGACAUCCAUACCAAUGUGCCUAUGACGUGCCCGGCACCACGCUAGGGGCUAGUGGCCCCCGGGGAAUGGGCUGAAGACCACAGGAGAUGACCACAGUCCGAUAUGUAUAGUCCAGGGUGGUGAGUGAUGAGGCAGAGGUGGUCCAGGGUCCUCCCAGAGCCGACCAGGAGGCACAGGCCCAGCCUGGGCAUGUGGGAGGACUUCCUGGAGGUAAUGGCACCGGGCUGAGCUUUUGUUUAAAUUUACUUUAUUGGGGUAUAAUUUGUACAUGAUAAAAUACGCCCAUCCUAAGCAAACCGUUGGAUGAAUUUUGACAUGUGUACAUAUGUAUGUAACCACUGCCCCAGUCAGGAUAUGGAACAUUUUCAUCACCCCAGAAAGUUCCUUCAUGCCCCUUUACAGUCACUAUUUUCCCACCCCCCACGCAGAUGACCACUUUGGCUGAGCUUUAAAAGACGAGUAGAGGAAAAAAUAAAUUAAAAAGACAAGUAGGACCCAGCUAAAAAAGGGAGGUGGCAAAGUACAGAGAAGUCUAACAUCACCAUGACUGUAGGAAGCUAUAAGCGUUUCCGAGGGAGCAAGCCAGGGGAAGCCAGUGAUGUAAGAAGGGGCCUGUCAGAGAAGACAUUGUACACUUGGAAGGAGCUGGGACUCCAUUCUCGGACCAAGAAACACAAACCCAAAUGCCAAAGAAGCUUUGCAUUUCAUAAACAGGGCUCUAGCAACUGCGAGACUAAUUGAUUUAAAGGGAUAUGCCUGGUGCCUGGGAGGAUGCUGGAACGUUCUAGAGGGGAGAUAAUAAAGACAUGAACAGGGACAGUGGAGGCAGAGACAGGGAUAAGGAGGUGUAUCUGAAUUUGGGGAAGGUACAAGGAGUACAAUCAGCCCCCACCUCCUUCCCUUGCCCACAGGGCCCUGCAUUCUCCAUGAGCCCUGGUACAGGGACCUCUCCUCUGGCACAUGACCUGCCAGGCCAUCCUCGGCUCACGUAUGUGAGACACACUGGGCAGAGCGAUGCUCCUUCGCGGGGGCCAUGCUUUCUUUCCUACUUCUCAGGAGCCCCCCACACCGCUGGCAGCAUCUGGCACACGGGGAGCCCACCCCGGACAUUAACUCACUUUGGAGCAACCGCGGAAACAUAUUCGAAGCGUUCCAUGCAGCCAGUCAGAUGUGCGUGUGCCGCACACCCCCUCCGUACCGGGCUCUGACUCGGGCGCUGGGAAUAGAGCAAGGAAGACAACAGCGUCCCCGGCCAGCCCCUUCCGAGGCAGCCAGGAACAUGUCACUUACAGGUGAGCGACUUGGUGGCCCUGCCCCCCGGGAUGGGUGGAGGGGAGGUGCACACCGAGCAGAUGAUUUGUCAAACACAGAGAUGAAAGGAUAGCGGGCAGUGCUGAGGGGGACGGGGGGGGGGCAAAGUAGGGUGAAGCAGAGACAGAGAUGGCGUGAUCAGGGAUGCAGGGGCCACCUGCCUAGAAGGUGACCUGAAGGGACCAAGCUAUGGAGAAGUCUGGGAGGAGAAUGUUCCAGACAGGAGCAGACUUUCAAAGGCCCAGGGGCAGAGUGUGGCUGGUGUGGUUGAGGAACAACGAGGGGUGAGGUGAAGCAGAUCCUUAGGGCCCUGUGGUCCCUCAGGAGGACUUUGAAUGAAGACAAGAGCUACCGCGGGGGUCAGAGCCGAGGGGUGGAAUGGUCUGACCUAGGCUUGAACCAGAUCACUGUGGCUGCUGUGUGGAGGGUGGGGCUAGGGCAGCAGCAGCAAGGCCAGGCUAUUGCACUCCCCCAGGAGAGACCAGGAACAGCCGAACCAGAGGGGAAGCAGUGAGAUGGUGAGAAGCGGACGGUCCUGGCUGACGUCUUGAGGUGGCGUCUGGGAGCUCGGUGAUGGACUGGGAGUGGGGUGGAUGAGAGAAGGCAAGUACAGCUCCAGGGAUGGGGUCUGACUUGGGAGGAUGGAGCUGCCAUUUAAUGAGAUGGAGAAGCUUCAGGAAGAGCAAGGUAGGGUUUUUUUGGGCGGGGGGAGGGGGUUAGGACUGUGUGUGCAGGCACACCAGCAGCAGUUACCAUAACGGCCGGCAGGAAUGCAGUGCCCUGCACGGGAAGGUUGGUCCUGAGUACUCUGAUGCUUGAGGUCAUUUAAUCCUCUCCGCAGCCCAGGGAAGGACGUGCUGGUUUUGUCCCCUGUGGCAGGAAAAUUGCUUGAGAUACAGACUCUGCAUCCUUUCUGCCAGUUCUUGCCUCCCUACCUUUGGUCAGAGCCCAAGCUCAAAGGGGAGCUAGUUUCUGGGGGUUGGUUGGGGGGAGGCAGAGCCUCUGGUCAGGCUGUAGAGGGGCUUCGAGGUGUCCACAGCCUCCCCCAGAACCCAAAAGCAACAGGGCCCACCGCAACGAAACCAGUUACCUCCAUGGUGCAAUGAAUGGAGACACCAGACAGCUACACAAUCUUGAUGGGAGCCAAAGCAUAACUGAGGAGGCGUUCCCUUCUAGAAUAGUGAGACUGGGUAUGGAGGUCAGAUUAUCCUGGUCAUAAGUGACACAAAACCUGGCCAGAGUGGCUCAAACCCAGUGGUGUGCAGGAGCUGGUCCGCCAGCCGAGGUAGGAGUAUUUACACUUUGGGAACCAGCUAACACGACAUGUCAGGACUCUCUCUACCCCCACCCCCACCAAGCGUGUUGUUAAAGAUUUACUGGCUGACCGUACUGGGAUAUCCUAGGAUAGGACUGACUGUGGGACACCCAUCUGUCACCACCACAGCUCAGACUUUCUCUCCCCAUCAUGUUCUUCCCAGAGUGGCACGAUGGCUGCCAGUAGCUUUAGACCCUAGAAGUCCCAGGGCUUCUCUUUCCCUCAUGUCCCAGCAGAAGCCCCUUAACUGAGCUUCACGGGUCCUGCUUGGUCACAUGCUCACCCUGAACCAAUCAUAGCGACCAGGAAGAAGAAAGUGCUGCUGGGCCAGACCUGGAUCAGGAUAGAUGGUGUGUGUGUGUUUGCCUGCAGUGGGGACUCCUAUAGGAAGCCACACGCUGAGAGAGGCAAAGAGGCUGGUUCCUCAAAGAAAAGCCUGAGGGCUCUCAGUGGAGGAGUGAGUAAUGGAUGUUGGGGCAGGCGACACCCACAGGGUCUAUCACACUUGCCUUUGUAGAACAAAUUCAUAUUAAGUGGCCUAAAGUCACUCAGCCAACUCAGGAUUCAUGUCACCAAGACCCAGGCUCCUUCCAUCAUCCUGCUCCGUCCUCCCCCACCCGGGGUCAGCCAUGAUCACUACAGCUCUGGGCUCUCACCCUACCACCCAUGCAGCCAAAGGCCGAUUAAGGGGCACAGGUGCUCUGCCCUGGCAGCUUCCGGGUGUGGAGAACCCUUCCGCGGAGCCCCAGCAAGCUUCCCCUCUCAUCUCAUUGGCCAGGACUGGGUCACAUGGCCACCCCUCCACCAAUCAUUGGUUACCUGCGGGGCUGGCUCUUUAAAACUCCGCCAACUCUGGGGACCGGUCAGCAACGAGGAAGGGGGACAGUGGUCACCGGGGUCUGCCAGGGGGUUGAUUACAUAGUAGAGGGCAGUGUCCGCCACAGCGAGGCCCGGAUUAAAGAGCAGCGUCUACACACCUCCUCAGGCUCAAAGAAGAGUCAGCCACGUGCCUGCUUCCGAGCUGGGAAAGUGAGGAGUGUUGUGGGCCCCCAUAGGGUCACACUCAUCCUGGUUUGUGCAGACACCUGGUUUAUUCCUGUCGUCCCAGUGUAAUUUCUUUCUCUCUUUUUUAAAUUAAUUAAUUAAUUGAUUAAUUUAUUUAUUUAUUUAUUUUUGAGAGAGAGAGAGACAGACAGAAUGUGAACAGGGGAGGGGCAGAGAGAGAGAGAGAGGGAGACACAGAAUCUGAAGCAGGCUCCAGGCUCUGAGCUGCCAGCCCAGAGCCCGACCUGGGGCUCGAACUCACGAACUGAGAGCUCAUGACCUGAGCCGAAGUCAGACGCCCAACUGACUGAGCCACUCAGGUGCCCCGCAGUGUAAUUUCUGAUUGCACCCCCUUUCCCUGUUGGAGGGGUCCAGAAGGUGGAUGCCGGGUUCCCUGUGAGACCAGAGCAUAGGGAAGCUGAGUAGAUCUCCAGGAAGUGCCUCUGCUGGAGUUUUCCAGAGGUGUCUUCAGGUGCCCAACCAGGCAGAAGCAUGGGGCUUGGGGCUGGGGUUGAAUUCCCCACCCUGCGCUGAGAGCCUCCCCUGUCGAGGUUCCUGUGUCCUGCCCUGAGGCGUUCAGACACAGCCUGAUGAUAUCUACCCCAGACAGCUGGGGACCAGGCCCUGCCUUCCUCAAGCCUCAUUCCUGAUCCUGACGCACACGGUGCCAGCCCGCAGGCUGGGCUGGAUGUCUCGGGCCAGCACGAGGUGGAGUACAGAAGAUGGUCGGCGGCAUAAAUAUGGGGGUGUCAGAUGGCGGCAUCCAUGUCUUUGUUGGAAACACCAGAAAAGUCUUUGGGGGAGGCCGUGCAGGAGCAGUGAGCAGCAGAGAAGCUUGGGACCAUCUUUGGCAGUAUUUUCCAACUGUACCUUGCCAUCCAGGAAUGGGAGAACCAGCCUUUUGGCAGGGGUGGGGGUGG